GCCGACCUGACGCUGUGGGCGCGCCAACCCGGACGAGGGUGUGUGCGGGUUCGACUCCCGCGGCCGGCG
rnacentral:tRNA from 1 species